AUGACGGGCGGCAAAGGAAUGGGCGGGUGGCGCCGGAGGAGAAGCCUCGGCAACCCCCCGAGGGAGAACUACUCCCUCCUCGUCAUGGAGAGCACCGGAAUGAUGAAGAUGGCCACCGGAGAGGGAUUCCCCCCUCUGGCAGGGUGCCAGAACGGGUCUAGAUUGGUUUUCAGUGGCUACGGAGGCUUCUGGCGGCGAAAGAAGUCGGUCAGGGGAGCCACGAGGGGCCCACGAGGGGCGCCCGCGGUGGAGUCCGGCGAGGGCGGAAAGGAGGAGGUCGAGGAGCACGAUGAGUCUGGCAAGGGGCGGCCAUGCCGGGGUCCGGCGAGGGGCGGCCGCGGCGGGGUCCAGCCAAAAUGGGGGGGAGGAGGGUGGGGAGGCCGUGGUCUGGCAAGGGGCGGCCGGGGCAGACUCGAACGAGGGGCGGCCAGGGUGGACUCCGACGAAGGGAGGUCGCACACGGACGAGGAGGCACCCUUCUCUGGCGGCGGCGGUUGA
rnacentral:rRNA from 1 species